rnacentral:misc_RNA from 1 species
CUAACUGAAGAAACUACAGCUAGGACAUUAGCAUGUGUCAUCAUUACACCCUUAGGCAGUCCAGUACUUCCACUUGUGUACAUUAUUACAGCAAUAUCAGCUGAUUGAGGUAAGUCAGCUUUAGCAGGAUUUUCUUGACCAAGUUUCUCCACAUUAGAAAGUGAAGUGAUUGUCCAUUGCCCACUCUGCUCCACUGAUGCACUCGAUGGAAUUUCAUCAUCCAUACAAAUCAAUCGUUUCACUGUGUCAAGUUGUCCACUUAUGUCCACAAGUUUCUUCAAUUCUUUGUUCCCACAUAUGACAGUUGUAACCUCUGUCUCGUUUAAUGAGUGGCACAAAGCGUCCUCUCCUAAAGAUGCAUAAAUGGUAACCACAGUGACAUUGCGCCUAAAGCAACCCUGCAGCGCAAUAAACCAUUCUGCUCUGGUAUCAGCAAAUAUGGCAACACGUUCUUCCCUUCUAUGCCCAAUAUGAGCCAACCCAGAAGCAAAGUUACAAACUUUUUCAAACACCUUGGCAUAAGUAAGCCACUCGUACUCGCCCAAAUGAAGCUUCUCAAAAGUCCUCCCAUCAGGGGCCACUUCGUUCUCUCUUGCAAUCAAUCUCCGCGUUCCUAGCAAGUAUUUAUCCCCGUGCCUCUUGCAGGCGUACUCAAAAAGCUCAGCAAGGGUAAAGACGCCCUCCCAGGCAGUUUCUAAGGGCGUCGGAAACCGAGAGUUCCGUAUAGCAAUCCCAGGUUCACCACCAACAUCGACCGGCAAGCCACGUUUCUUCUCACUUUUCUUAGAAUUCCUAAAGAAAAGAGUGACGGCAAGAGGGACGAGAACGCCAACUAAAUAAGCACUCAUGUUUCAACGAUUAGAUGAUCGUGAAAAAAUCAAGCAAUUGGAAAUCCCUUUUUUUUCCCUAGCCAAGAAUCCUGAAGAUGAGAAGAAAAUUGAGAAUUAGAGAAAACGCAUUGAGUAGGAUCGAAACGCAAAGAGAGAUUCUCUCGAGGAUCGAAACGGAAGCGUUUUAAACAGUGAAGUUGG